UACGUAGGGGGCAAGCGUUGUCCGGAAUCAUUGGGCGUAAAGCGCGCGUAGGCGGCCUCGUAAGUCCGUUGUGAAAGUCAAAGGCUCAACCUUUGAAAGCCGAUGGAUACUGUGAGGCUAGAGUCCGGAAGAGGCGAGUGGAAUUCCUGGUGUAGCGGUGGAAUGCGCAGAUAUCAGGAGGAACACCAAUAGCGAAGGCAGCUCGCUGGGACGGUACUGACGCUAAGGCGAAAGCGUGGGGAGCGAACGAGGA
rnacentral:rRNA from 1 species